CUCAAAGGAUGUUUCUGGUACCUUGUAUACACAGAAGAGUACUUCUGCAUUUGGUAAAUCAACGAAGGCAAGUCUUGCCACUACAUCCAGUGAACGACAAAAGGAGAAGCAAAUUACAUCAUCUAUGAAAUGUGACAAGAGACUCAGUUCAAUGAAAACCCCUGAUAAAACAUCUUCAAACAGAACUUGUAUUAUAGAUGAUGACAGAUGCACUGAAGCUUCGCAUACAACUCCAUCAAACGGUUCUCCUUCCUGUGUGAGUGUGCCAAAGAAGAAAAUUUCCAGGAUUCUUUUCAAUGACGGCGGCAGCAAUAAUGAGAAAUCGCCACAUCUGAUUGAUACUCCACAAAAAUGUAAGCUAUUUGUUUACAUACAUUUCUAUAAAUUUUUACACUACGAAUCUUUGCCACGUGUUAUAUACUGUUGAUAUACUGUGAUGUACUGAUGAGAAACGAACUGAACUUUUCUCUUAAUUUGUAUAAGUGUUUUAUUAAUUUGUAAACUGUUGUCAUUAAUUUCUCCUCUUCGUGAUAAGCAUGAGACAGAAGUUUUUGUAUGGAAAAUACAACAGAGCAGGAAAGAUGAAGGGAUUGACAAAUUGUGCUGUUAAGAUCUUUAUAUGAUAUUGUUUCUAAUAUAUGCAAUACAUUGUUUUAGCCUGUUCAUCUCAGCCAAUGUAUUCGACAUCAAGUGUGGAAGUAAUCAAGGUGGAGCUACUUUAUGAGUUAAACAGUAAAUUGGAUUUUAUAAUGAUACAAAAUCAACGAAUUAUGAAGAAACUAUACCCGGAGGAAGCUGCUCUCAAGAAACCAAAAGACUUUCCAUCCCUGCCACUUCAAUCUGAGGACGAUUUCAAGAACUUUGAAAAAUUCUUGCAGAACCGAAAUCAACCUCAUCAGCACAGUAAGUUAUCCUUUAAAUUAAUGUACUUGUAACUAUAUGUCCAAGUCUAGUACAACUAUUACGUUUAAAUUUUUGCUCUCCAGGCAGAUUUCUUCCACGCGGUUGCUUCUGACUGUGUGUUGGAGGGUAAAGCGGCAGGAAAGCUAAUGAGGAAAUGUGUGUCAAACCGUCUCUUAAGAGUAAUGAGCUGGGAUGAGACUAAUAAAACCAAGCUUAGCUUUAAUAAAUCGAAACUGAAGGAAGCAAUCUUUUGUUCACUUCUCAAGUUAUACCUUGGGAGUAAGCUCUUAGAUGCUGAAGCUGCUAUUAAAAGGUAGCUAAAUACGAGUGCACAGCGCUUGGUAUAACAAAUACCGUUCUCGCCCGAACUAAAUACAAGAGCAGACCUGCAAGUACCUCUACAUAAAAGAAGUUCUUUUGAUUAUUUUUGUGUUAUUUUAUAUUAAACAUACAUAGAGAAGCAUAUGGACAAUAUAAUAAACCAAAUGGUCCAUAAAGACCAUUGUAUUAUAUUUUACACCUUUACUACGUUUACGCGAGCGUU